ensembl:rRNA 5S_rRNA 5S ribosomal RNA
GCUGACAGUUAGCUCUCUGCAACUCUUGCAUGGUCAUCCACUGAAGCUAAGCAGAAUUGUGCCCGAUCAGUCCCUGGAUGGGAGACCAAAUGGGAAAGCUAGGUUGCUGCCGGAA